rnacentral:hammerhead_ribozyme from 1 species
UUACUGCUGAGGAGUCCCAUACUAAGACGAAACGGCCGUCCAGUGC